AUUGAACGCUAGCGGCAGGCUUAACACAUGCCAGUCGAGCGAGCGGCGGCCGGGUGAGUAAUGUCUGGGAAAGUGCCUGAUGGAGGGGGAUAACUACUGGAAAGGGUGGCUAAUACCGCAUACUAGUCGAUGUGCCCAGAUGGGAUUCGCUAGUAGGUGGGGUAAUGGCUCACCUAGGCGACGAGCCGUAGCUGGUUUGAGAGGAUGACCAGACACACUGGAACUGAGACACGGUCCAGACUCCUACGGGAGGCAGCAGUGUGGAAGAUUGCACAAUGGGCGAAAGCCUUAUGCAGCCAUCCCGCGUGUGUGAAGAAGGCCUUCGGGUUGUAAAGCACUUUCAGCUGGGAGGCGUUACCCGCAGAAGAAGCACCGGCUAACUCCGUGCCAGCAGCCGCGGUAAUAC
rnacentral:rRNA from 1 species